rnacentral:siRNA from 1 species
UAUUAAUUCCAGAGAUAUUCGC